rnacentral:rRNA from 1 species
GAGUUUGAUCCUGGCUCAGGAUGAACGCUGGCGGCGUGCUUAACACAUGCAAGUCGAACGAUUAAGACGGCUUCGGCCGUGUAUAGAGUGGCGAACGGGUGAGUAACACGUGACCAACCUGCCCCGCGCUCCGGGACAACCGCUGGAAACGGCGGCUAAUACCGGAUGCUCCGGGGAGGCCCCAUGGCCUCCCCGGGAAAGCCUUAACGGCGCGGGAUGGGGUCGCGUCCCAUCAGGUAGUAGGCGGGGCAACGGCCCACCUAGCCGACGACGGGUAGCCGGGUUGAGAGACCGACCGGCCACAUUGGGACUGAGAUACGGCCCAGACUCCUACGGGAGGCAGCAGUGGGGAAUCUUGCGCAAUGGGGGGAACCCUGACGCAGCGACGCCGCGUGCGGGACGGAGGCCUUCGGGUCGUAAACCGCUUUCAGCAGGGAAGAGUCAAGACUGUACCUGCAGAAGAAGCCCCGGCUAACUACGUGCCAGCCGCCGCGGUAAUUC